UAAGCUAACAGUUCUAAAAUGCGAGGUGAUCGACUUCUACUUAAAAACUUUAGCCAUGCUCUAUUAUGAUCCAAAUUCACACUUAGUUGCACAAUACGUCAAGAUCAACCAAUCCCUUUAAUAUUCAUUAAGUUUGGGAACGUGAAUCAAGAUAUGCAUUGCUAGUGAACUCAUUUGGAUAAGGAUGGGUUAUGAGACAAAGAUGGUCCCUUAAAGGUGGUUCAGACUUUAAUAACACGGGACUCUCAAUGAAAAAGGACUGAGCUUUAGAAGAAUGAUAAAGGUAAGUGUC
rnacentral:sRNA from 1 species